AGAGGGUGCGAGCGUUAAUCGGAAUUACUGGGCGUAAAGGGUGCGUAGGCGGAUAAUUAAGUUGGAUGUGAAAGCCCUGGGCUUAACCUAGGAAUGGCAUGCGAUACUGAUAAUCUAGAGUACAGUAGAGGAGAGCGGAAUUUCCGGUGUAGCGGUGAAAUGCGUAGAUAUCGGAAGGAACACCAGUGGCGAAGGCGGCUCUCUGGACUGAUACUGACGCUGAGGUACGAAAGCGUGGGGGGAGCAAACAGGAUUAGAUACCCUGGUAGUCCACGCCGUAAAUGGUGAGAACUAGCUGUUUGGAAAUUAUUCUGAGUGGCGUAGCAAACGCGCUAAGUUCUCCGCCUGGGAGUACGGCCGCAAGGUUA
rnacentral:rRNA from 1 species